rnacentral:rRNA from 1 species
AUGGCGGCAAGUGCUCUCCCCAUCCUCUGCACUGCGAUUGCUCCCAAAUCCUUUGUCUCAUCUUUGCCUCGCCCCACUCCGAUAAACCUCCUCAGAUCAAAAAUAGUGUGCAGCUCCGUCCGUUCCGUGAAGGCAACACCCACGGAAGUGGAGGAGGAAGCAGCUGCAGGAGGCGGCGGCGGCACAAAGCUGUCUGCCUGGACAAGCGUCCCGCAACAACGGUGGGAAGGCGACAUGGUUGUCGACGGACAGCUCCCACUCUGGCUGAACGGCACGUACCUGAGGAAUGGGGCAGGACUGUGGGAGGCCGACGACCUCGCCUUCGACCACCUGUUCGAUGGCUACGCGACACUCAUCCGUGUCUCCUUCCAGCAAGGCCGUGCCACUGGCGCGCACCGGCAAAUUGAGUCUGACGCAUACAUGGCGGCGAACAAGGACGACCCAAUAGUGAUGCAGGAGUUCUCCCAGUGCCCCAAGCCCGCUAAUCUGCUGGACCGGGUGCGCAAUGUCGUGGGGCUCCUCAGCGGUGCGUCUGUCACGGACAACCCCAACGUCAACGUGGUACCUCUCGGUGAUGGCCGGGUCAUGUGCCUCACGGAGACCACCAAGAGCUCCACACUGAUAGACCCCGACACGCUCGACACGGUCGGCAAGUUCAAGUACACCGAUAAACUAGGCGCCAUGAUACAGUCGGCACACCUGAUCUGUACUGACUCCGAGUUCUUGACGCUGCUCCCUGACCUUCUCCGGCCGGGCUACCUUGUCGUGAGGAUGGAGACUGGGACAAACGAGAUGAAGGUCAUAGGAAGGGUGGACUGUCGGGGCGGGCCGAAGCCGGGGUGGAUGCACUCCUUCGCCAUCACCGAGAACCAUGUCGUGGUGCCCGAGAUGCCAAUCUGGUACUCCUUGACAAGGCUGCUCAGGUCCGAGCUCGGCCAAUUCUACACCUUCGAUUGUCUUCCAACGUCGCGGAGCUAUAUGCACGUCAUGUGCAAGUCCACGGGCAAGACAGUGGCGAGUGUUAUGGUGCCACCUUUCAUGGCAAUCCACUUUAUCAAUGCAUACGAGGAGGUAGACAAGCACGGCGAAGCUGCUGAGAUCAUCGCCGAUUGCUGCGAGCAAUACGGUGAUCCUGCAAUCAUCAAGACACUUGUCCUCAGGCAACUGAGGUCGUUUAGGGGCAUGGAUUUGUUGCCUAAUUCCAGAGUUGGCCGGUUCAGGAUACCGCUUGACGGCAGCACGUUUGGCGAGCUCCAGUCGGCGCUGGACCCAGAGGAGCAUGGCCGAGGGAUAGAGAUGUGCAACAUCAACAGGGCGUGCAUCGGGAAGAAGUACCGCUAUGCUUACGGUUGCGGCGCACGCCGGCCAUGCAACUACUUCAACACGCUCACAAAGAUGGACAUGGUGUUGCAGAAGGCCAUGAGCUGGUAUGAGGAGGGUGCCGUGCCAUCCGAGCCCUUCUUCGUGGCGAGGCCCGGAGCAUCCAACGAAGACGACGGUGUGGUCAUGUCAAUCGUGAGUGCCGAGGAUGGUGGAGGUUAUAUGGUUGUGCUGGAUGCAACCACGUUCAAGGAGAUUGCGCGCGUCAAAUUCCCAUAUGGGCUGCCCUAUGGUUUCCACGGUUGCUGGAUCCCAGCCAAGAACUCAUAA